rnacentral:rRNA from 1 species
GACGAACGCUGGCGGCGUGCUUAACACAUGCAAGUCGAACGGAAAGGCCCUGCUUUUGUGGGGGGCUCGAGUGGCGAACGGGUGAGUAACACGUGAGUAACCUGCCCUUGACUUUGGGAUAACUUCAGGAAACUGGGGCUAAUACCGGAUAGGAGCUCCUGCUGCAUGGUGGGGGUUGGAAAGUUUCGGCGGUUGGGGAUGGACUCGCGGCUUAUCAGCUUGUUGGUGGGGUAGUGGCUUACCAAGGCUUUGACGGGUAGCCGGCCUGAGAGGGUGACCGGCCACAUUGGGGCUGAGAUACGGCCCAGACUCCGACGGGAGGCAGCAGUGGGGAAUAUUGCACAAUGGGCGGAAGCCUGAUGCAGCAACGCCGCGUGCGGGAUGACGGCCUUCGGGUUGUAAACCGCUUUCGCCUGUGACGAAGCGUGAGGGACGGGAAUGGGUAAAGAAGCACCGGCUAACUACGU